UGUAUUUGAAUUAUUCGACGG
rnacentral:piRNA from 1 species